rnacentral:misc_RNA from 1 species
AACGCAAAUUGCACUUUCUGGUAUUCCGGAAAGUAUGCCUGUUUGAGGGUCGUUAAAAUUAAAAAUCGAAUUUUGUUACCUUGGUGACAAGUUCGGAAUUGAGUCAUCUUAUUCCUGGAGUUUUAAGAGGCUUAAAAUUGAUCAUUUUCUGGUAUUACUUAAGCGUAUCUAAUUAUUUGCGCUUGGUAAUAUCUUCCUAUUAGGAGUGGCCAUUGAUCAUGGUUUUACACCUAUAAUAUUAUUAUAAUUUGACCUCAAAUCAGGUAGGAUUACCCGCCGAACUUAA